UACCGUGGCCCUAUUAUUAGGAGG
rnacentral:piRNA from 1 species